rnacentral:rRNA from 1 species
UACGUAGGUGGCAAGCGUUAUCCGGAUUUACUGGGUGUAAAGGGCGUGUAGGCGGUUUUGCAAGUCAGAUGUGAAAUCUCCGGGCUUAACCCGGAAACUGCAUCUGAAACUGCAGAACUUGAGUACUGGAGAGGAUAGUGGAAUUCCUAGUGUAGCGGUAAAAUGCGUAGAUAUUAGGAGGAACACCAGUGGCGAAGGCGACUAUCUGGACAGUAACUGACGCUGAGGAGCGAAAGCAUGGGUAGCGAACAGGAUUAGAUACCCU